AGGGGUGCUAGCGUUGUACGGAAUCAUUGGGCGUAAAGGGUCCAUAGGCGGUCUAACAAGUCAAUUGUUAAAUACAUCGGCUUAACCGAUGAAAUGCGAUUGAAACUGUUAGAAUAGAGUUUAGGAGAGGAAAGUGGAAUUUCUGGUGUAGCGGUGACAUGCGUAGAUAUCAGAAGGAACACCAAUGGCGAAGGCAACUUUCUGGCCUAAAACUGACGCUGAGGGACGAAAGCGUGGGGAGCGAACAGGAUUAGAUACCCUGGUAGUCCACGCCGUAAACGAUGAGUAUUUGUUGUCGGGGGAUUCGACCCCUUCGGUAGCGGAGCUAACGCGUUAAAUACUCCGCCUGGGUACUACGACCGCAAGGUUGAAACUCAAAGGAAUUGACGGGGACCCGCACAAGCGGUGGAACAUGUGGUUUAAUUCGAUGCAACGCGAAGAACCUUACCUGGGUUUGACAUGUUCACGAAAGCUCUACGAAAGUAGAGCCCUCUGCGAGCUUGCUCAAAGACGUGAUCACAGGUGAUGCAUGGCUGUCGUCAGCUCGUGUCGUGAGAUGUUGGAUUAAGUCCCGCAACGAGCGCAACCCCUAUCCUUAGUUGCCAGCACAUUAUGGUGGGGACUCUAAGGAGACUGCCUAGGAUAACUAGGAGGAAGGUGGGGAUGAUGUCAAGUCAGUAUGUCCCUUAUAUCCAGGCUACACACGUGUUACAAUGGUUAGUACAAAGGGUCGCAAAGCCGCAAGGUGGAGCCAAUCCCAAAAAACUAACCCCAGUUCGGAUUGGAGUCUGCAACUCGACUCCAUGAAGCAGGAAUCGCUAGUAAUCGUGGAUCAGAACGCUACGGUGAAUACGUUCCCGGGUCUUGUACACACCGCCCGUCACGCCAUGGAAGUCAGCAGUACCCGAAUCGGGUGGCUUAACCUUCGGGAGAGAGCUCGUUAAGGUAAGGCUGGUAACUGGGGCGAAGUCGUAACAAGGUAGCCGUACCGGAAGGAGCGGCUGGAUCACCUCCUUUCUAAGGAGUACUGGGAAGAAAUUCCUAGGACGGUCGAAAUUGAAUCAACAGACUCACUCGCAAACCAAAGAAUUGGGCUUGUAGCUCAGGUGGUUAGAGCGCUGCCCUGAUAAGGCAGAGGUCCGUGGUUCGAGUCCACGCAGGCCCACCACUAUGCUGCAGCCAAAAUAAUUGGGGCUUUAGCUCAGUUGGGAGAGCGCCUGAUUUGCAUUCAGGAGGUCAUCGGUUCGAUCCCGGUAAGCUCCACAAAUUUUUUUUUUGCUUUUUGAAAAUUGGGAAAUUGGAUAACUGACAUUAUUUUUUAAAUAAUUGAUGUAGCCAAGUCAUCUUCAAGAAAGACACUUUAGUAAAGCUACUAAGGGCGUACGGAGGAUGUCUAGGCACAUGGAGGCGAUGAAGGACGUGAUAAGCUGCGAUAAACUUCGGGGAGGUGCAAAUAACCUUUGAUCCGUAGGUUU
rnacentral:sRNA from 1 species